CUGUGUUUCCAUUUAGCUGUGAUGCCCUAGCUCAAGGCAUUAUACUGGUGUAGGGACAAUUUUAUUUUUCGAGAUUCUUAUAGAAAAUGACAUGUUAGGGACAGUCAGAAAUUUAGUGGAAGUUAUGAUAUGUCAGAAAACUGUAGUGACAGUAGCAUUGCAGAUUGUGGCCUGGAUAAUUGAGGAUAAAGUUGAAGUAAGGUUAGCUUUGAGCAGUACACAAGAAUAAUAAUAAUUGAUUGAUUUAGUUGAAUUUAUUUUGUUUGUUUGAGUUUUGAUUUUGUGUUUAAAUUAGUCCUUGCAUCUUCUAAUGAAAGCCUAAUUUCAGUGUUGCAUCAAAGACCACCAAGUCUUGUGAAUGGCGAUUUUGCGUUUGAUUGAGCUGAUAGACGAUGGCUGCAGUGUUGAGUCUUGAUGUUGUCCGUGAUGCUGAUCUUCAAUAGCGGGUCUGGUGAGCCAACAUACUGUAAGGUUGGUGCCGAGACAAACAUUGUCUAUCCUUUAUUAUAUUGUUUGAGAUGUUCGUCUAUCAAAAUUUAGUUAUCUGAUUAGUACUGGAAUUUCAGUUGUUUGAUAAUAUUUCAUUGGUAGGGUCAGUAAUGUGGUAUAAAAAUAUAGGGUGUAUUUUGUGGUCUGGCAUUGUAAAGAGAGUUGUCAGACGUGAUAGGGUUUGUUAACGUUUCCUUUAGGCUGUGGUAAUUUUUUUUUUUUUUGAGCUUAGAUAGGUAGAUGUGAGAAAUCUUAUCUGUUGAAGUUGUAGUUUUGUUUGAUGAAUUAUGUAUCUGGAGUGAGUGUCGCCAGGUAUAAGGGGCACUACUCAGAUGAGGUCCAUAUGACAAAUCAAGGUUUAUAGCUGGGACUAUCCUUGUUGUAUUUGUGGAAUGGAAGAUAGAAUUUUAGCAAAAGGUACUCAGAGUAGUAUGAGCUAAAAUUAGGUUUUAUUCUGUUGAAUGGUGUGGUUCCUUUCUGAAGAUUUAUGGGGGUCUGAAGAAAAUAGAUGGAAUGCUAACCAAGAUCAGGAUUUUUUUUUGAAAUUUUAGGGUAAGCCUCAGUUGAAAGGUUCGUUAGAUUGAUAGCUGGGAAUGGCCACAAUACACUGUCAAAAUUUAUUUUUCAAUUUCUGGGGAUAAUUUUUUUUUUCUAAAUAAUGUGGGUAGUGAAAAUCAAAAAUUUAAUUUAAUAGGGAAAGUUAAAUUGUUAAUAAAUAAGUCAAUUUGAAUCAAAAUUAAGUAUAAUGAAUGAGAGAAAAUUUAGAAAGUUUAUAGAGUUCGAAUUUGGAUUUUAUAAUAAUAAAUAUUAUACUGCUAUAGUUAAUUUGGUGAUACAGACAGUGGAAAGUAAUUUAUUUCAAUACAGAGAAAUUGGGGAAAUUAAAAAUAAAUAAAUAAUAUUUGAAUUGUAUGGUGAUAAUUGAUUAUGAGAAUUAAUUUUACUUGGUGAUAGGAUAAUUGAUUAUUUUUUGUUGCAGUAUUGUGAGGAUAAAUUAGGGAGAUUCAAUAAAUUAUAGUGUUGGUUUAGUAUGGUGACCUUGAAUUUUUAUAGAUAUUAUUUGAUGGGUAAUAAUAAAGUGAAGAAUAAUAAUUGAAUAAGAUAGACAGGAUAUAGAAUCAUGUCCUAUAUUAAUUGCAGCAAAAGUUGAUUAAUAUUAAAAGGGGGAAGAAACGGGAAAUGUAGAAAAAUAGGAAAAGUAGUUCUUUAAUAUAACAUAAACAUGGAAAAAUGAUUGAAUAAAAAAAAAUAGAAAAUAGGAAACGGGAAGAAAAUCUAGGUAACUCAAUUUUUCACAACUUUUGUGAUGAUAAAAAAAAGGGAAUAUGUAACGGGAAAUGGAACAGGUUUCAGUACUAUAGAAUAUGGAACUAUUUUUUUAUUAAUCUUGAGAAAAUGCUUAUGUUGUUUGCUUUAGCUUGUCUUUGUCAAUGGAAUUCUUAAAAUAAAGGUUUGAGUUUCUGAAGGUUCUUCUUUGAGUGUGGUAGGCAGUAUAAAAUUUUGUUCAAAUAUUUUUGGUGGAGCUUAGUUCAGUUAUAUACUAGUCGAUAGUGGAAAAUUUUCUUUAUGAUAUGGUUCAGUGUCUGUUAUCAUUAUCAUUGGCCUAGGCGUUUGUACUGUCAUAUUUCUUCAUGUGCUGGAGAAAUGAGUUUAAUUGAGUAUACAAGGAGAAGAUAGUAAGUAGUAAUUUGAUGUGUUGAGAGAAUAUCGUAGUCAGUUUUUUUUUGAGUUGCCAAGGUCCAUUAGUUGUUGUACUGUGGUUGUGCCAAGGUGAUAGGAAGCACAAAUUGUAGGUAUACUGGUGUAUGUAUAUUGUCCUCAAAUGUUGCUGUCCCAAGUGAGUAAUGAGUAACGGAAAUUAAGUGGUAAUGAUGUACUGAAUAGUUGUAUCUCUGUUUGUGAAACAGUGAAGAUCUUAGUCUUUUCCAAAAGGGAAAAUUCAGAAUUGUAGCGUAGGUGUUGCUAGGUAAUUGUGGGACAAUUCGCGAUGUCCUUUAUCUUCAGCUAAAAUCUACGUUAUUUUGUUGCACGAAAUUGCAAGGAACGAGAUAGAGAGUAUAAAUGGGUGAUAUGAGUUUUAUUAUACGUGUAUCUAGGUCAACAUGUAUCAUGAUACGUAAGCUGCUAACAUCGUUGCAUGUGAGUUAACUCUGUGUAGUUAUUGGCUUCAUGGCAUUGAAAAGCGGUUGCAUACGUAGGUCAGGGUUGCUUUGACAUGAGGCGGCCGUCAGCUGUUUCAGUGGUGAGAUGCGUCAAAUGUCAGUUGCUCGAUUUUAACAACUUGUCGAGUUAUGAUGGUCUGGUCAUAUGAUUGUGAUAAUUUGAUAAUUUUUUUUUUGAUUUGUUGUUUCUAUUUUAUUUUUUGUUGAGGUUAAAAUUGGGAUAAUCUGGUAAUGAACUUAACAGCAGAGUAUUGAUUAGAGAGUUUCUUUAAAUAUUUUGGUCAUUUUAUCUUUGUCUGGGAGAAAUUUCAGCAAAUUAUCUUAUCAGUUGUGAGGGACCAGUGAAAGGUGUACAUAAUGGAUUUCUUCACUGCGGUUUUAAGAAAGUAACUGUCUGAAUAUUAAUUUUGAUUUUAUUUUGUCACUGUUUAUUGAUGUCUAUUACUGGUUGUUUAGCUUCAUAUGAGACAGGGCCCGUCUAGAUGUGGAGUUUGGCAGCCGGUUUUGCACAAUUUCUAGUUGACUUUACAAAUUUUUUUGGUGUCUUAUUUUGCAAAAUUUCACAAGUAUUCCACCUUGUUUUCUUAGAUAUCUUAAUUAUUCCAAAUUAGUUGAUUACCUUCAUGGUGAUUUGUCUUAACUUUUAUGAGAUCGAAAUUUGUUACUAGUCCACUUGGUUAGUUAAAAAAUUGUGAAGUUGGUUAUUUUGCUUGUUCCUCUUGAUGUUUAUGGCUAGUUCUUUGAUAUUCAUUAAAAAAUUUUUGUUGCUUUCACAUGAUUGUAGUUCGAGUUUGAUUAGUUUGAGAUCCAUUAUUAGUAUUUUAUUUGAAAUUUUGAGGUCGAUAAUUCCUUUUGUCGAUAUUGGUCUUAUACAGAGUGUUACCGAUAGCACUGUCAUGUUGUUUUCUGCCAAAUUUUUUUACGACUUAACCCGGUGUUCCACACUCAAGAAGGGGGAGUAUGUAACAAUAAAUAUUGUUACAAUAGUGAGCGAUGAGAAUUAUGCGAAUUAGCCUGAGAAGUUGGCCUGUUAUAAAAAUGGAUUUUGCUGUUCUGCUUUUCUGUGUUGUGUUGUGUUGACUCUGUAAGUGUGUGCGUAGAUCCUAAGAAUAACAUCAAUUUUCCUGGAGCAAAAGCUUAGUUCAUGAGCCUUGCUUUUUGCGUUGUGUAGUGUCGACUCUAUAGGUGUGUGUGUAGAAGUUGUGGGAAGAUCAACAUUUUUCCUAGAAUAUAAGUCUGGUUCACGACCUUAUAAGGUAAGGAAUUUAUAGCUGCCUAGGAAAAAUAGCUGUCACUUGGUGGGAGAAUGUAUCUUGAAUUGUAGUUGAAACGUUCCUUUCUAUUGGUGGAAAUUUUUCUAGAGAAUAGUAACUGCCAAUCACAGUUGGUGUUGGUUAGGUCUAUUUAGUAUGGACGAUCUCACAGCUGUCCACCUCAAGACGAGAAAAGCGAAGUGGACUCACUUAGCGUCUGUCGACUGUCUUUAGCAGUACUAAAUGUAGUCUGUUCAGAACUUUGUAUUAAUCAUGGCUGCCAUGCCAGCUUUAGGUUUUUUUUAGUAUUUGGCUCUGGAACCUUUUGUUCCAGCAGCAUUUUUAGUCUUUUUGCCUAUGUAGUCGCUUUAAUUAAGAAGAGAGAGAGAGAGUAUCAAAUUGUCACCUCACAAUGGAGAUUUUUCUCCUAUAACCGCUACUAAAGCGGUGUAAGUACGGGAACAUCAAGUAUGGGAUCAACGUACGAAUCUAUCAUUUCAUGGGUUCAUGAACGUGCGUCUUUAAGCCGCUGAGACGCCUCUGAAUCGAUGGCCGUCCUAGAAGCUUGGGGUAUGCUGUCUCCUGUCCAUCUGGACGUGUAGAGCUCGAUCACCGAGCCUAGAUUCAAUUUGAAGAAACAGCUAUGAGCAGGCAGAGGCGUUCAACAAACAAAUUCGGUUGAAGUGUUUGGUGAGGAGAACUGAAGGGCCAAAAGCUCUGGAGAGUGGUCUUCCAAAAUCGAGUAAAUUGGGUACUCUGACAGGUAAUGGCCAUUCACAAACUGCAGAGGAGACUGGAUUCUGGAUUCUCAAGUGCCGAACGGUCGUCGUCGGCAAAUUGAAAGGAUUCUUUGAACAAGUUGAUUUUGUUUUGUGUCCAAUGUAUCAUAUUACAAGCGAGAGAAGAGCAUGUUAUUGUUUUACUUGAUAUCGCUUGAAUAAAUUCUAUUG